rnacentral:rRNA from 1 species
GACGAACGCUGGCGGCGUGCCUAACACAUGCAAGUCGAACGGGGUGAAUUUCUUCGGAGGUUCACUUAGUGGCGAACGGGUGAGUAACGCGUGAGAAACCUGCCUUCCGGUGGGGGACAACAGUUAGAAAUGACUGCUAAUACCGCAUAAGCGCACGGUAUCGCAUGAUACAGUGUGAAAAACUCCGGUGGUAUGAGAUGGACCCGCGUCUGAUUAGCCAGUUGGUGGGGUAACGGCCUACCAAGGCGACGAUCAGUAGCCGACCUGAGAGGGUGACCGGCCACAUUGGGACUGAGACACGGCCCAA